rnacentral:lncRNA from 1 species
UAAACUAGUUGGCUAUGUGGCAUUAUAAUCUGUGCAUCAACAACUAGCAUUAAACCAGCCAACGCCAUAAAAAAUACCAAAACUAGAUUCCUAUGUACGUCAAGUAAAAACCAAUAGCAAAACCAUCACAAAAAGCAUUCCGAAGAACUACACAAACAGGUUCAUACAGCCAUCACAAAUAGAUUUACCCACAUGACGACUAGCGUCUAUUUCUUGAAGUUCGAUUUGCUUUGUCAAGGAAGUUCCACCAUCAGGGACAGAAAGGAGCUGGCCCAUCUUUGAGAACAAUAGUUCGACUUUGCUUCUCGACAUCGGGAAUGGGCAUGAAGUGAAAUUCAUGUUAUAUUUCCUGCUCUUUAUAGAAACUUAAAAUUCUGUGGUUGUCCUAUUUAGUUAUUAAGCCCCAAAAUCUCAAUGAAAAGUGAUUCUGAAUUUGCCAAAAUCAUCUUUGCACUCCAUUUUGCUGGUUUGUUAUUCAUUGAAAAUUGGUACUCUGUGUUAAUAACAGAAAAUUAGUUCAAUUCAUUUUGCACGGUUUGUUACAUCAUUUCCCUUCCUCAUUAUUUGUUUAUUAUUUUUUUUAUAGCUUGGAAUUACUUUGUUUAUAAUGUUGAGUUGUUAGACUUUUAACUUCCUUUUUAUAUAUAAAAUAGUUUGCUCAUGCUGACUACGAUCUCAAAAGCUGGAAGAGCCCCAAAAGAAAAUGAUAUCUACCGACAAGAGGUUAUUUAUUAAUCUUUAUUUUUCGAAACUUACUUUGUCAUUUAUAACUAUUGAAUUUAACUUUUUUUAUUGUUGUAAAAAUAAAAGUGCAAAUUCUAUGAGAAGGACAAUUGCAGGUAUGGUGCAAGGUGUUGGGUAAGUAUUUUAAAAAGAAAUUUAAUUAUAAUUUUCUUAAAUUGCUUAAAAUUAAUUAUACUUUUAUAUUAUACAACUUUCUAAUUUAGACACAGCAAACAAAUACCACAAUUCUGUCUCUUUUUUGCUACCACAGGGGAGUGCUAUAUGGAAGGAAACUGUACAUUCGAGCAUAGAUGUUGAAUCAGAAAGAGAUUAGUGUAUUGUUGUAUAGAGAAGAACAAAAUACAUAUGGAAGGAUUAAAUGUAAUACAAAAGUUGUAUGGAGUGUAGAAAGGUUAAUAAUGUAUAAAAGAG